rnacentral:rRNA from 1 species
CCUACGGGAGGCAGCAGUGGGGAAUCUUGCGCAAUGGGCGAAAGCCUGACGCAGCCAUGCCGCGUGAAUGAUGAAGGUCUUAGGAUUGUAAAAUUCUUUCACCGGGGACGAUAAUGACGGUACCCGGAGAAGAAGCCCCGGCUAACUUCGUGCCAGCAGCCGCGGUAAUACGAAGGGGGCUAGCGUUGCUCGGAAUUACUGGGCGUAAAGGGAGCGUAGGCGGAUAGUUUAGUCAGAGGUGAAAGCCCAGGGCUCAACCUUGGAAUUGCCUUUGAUACUGGCUAUCUUGAGUUUGGGAGAGGUGAGUGGAACUCCGAGUGUAGAGGUGAAAUUCGUAGAUAUUCGGAAGAACACCAGUGGCGAAGGCGACUCACUGGCCCAAUACUGACGCUGAGGCUCGAAAGCGUGGGGAGCAAACAGGAUUAGAUACCCUGGUAGUCCACGCCGUAAACGAUGAGUGCUAGUUGUCGGCAUGCAUGCAUGUCGGUGACGCAGCUAACGCAUUAAGCACUCCGCCGNGGGAGGUACGGUCGCGAAGAAUUAAACUAACAAAGAAAGUUAGUACGGCGUUGAGACGNGCCGACGGACGACGACGAGGGGAGGAGG